rnacentral:rRNA from 1 species
AUUGAACGCUGGCGGCAGGCCUAACACAUGCAAGUCGAGCGGAUGAAGGGAGCUUUCUCCUGGAUUCAGCGGCGGACGGGUGAGUAAUGCCUAGGAAUCUGCCUGGUAUUGGGGGAUAACGUCCGGAAACGGGCGCUAAUACCGCAUACGUCCUGAUGGAGAAAGUGGGGGAUCUUCGGACCUCACGCUAUCAGAUGAGCCUAGGUCGGAUUAGCUAGUUGGUGGGGUAAAGGCCUACCAAGGCGACGAUCCGUAACUGGGCUGAGAGGAUGAUCAGUCACACUGGAACUGAGACACGGUCCAGACUCCUACGGGAGGCAGCAGUGGGGAAUAUUGGACAAAGGGCGAAAGCCUGAUCCAGCCAUGCCGCGUGUGUGAAGAAGGUCUUCGGAUUGUAAAGCACUUUAAGUUGGGAGGAAGGGCAGUAAGUUAAUACCUUGCUGUUUUGACGUUACCAACAGAAUAAGCACCGGCUAACUUCGUG